GGUUAAGCGACUAAGCGUACACGGUGGAUGCCCUGGCAGUCAGAGGCGAUGAAGGACGUGCUAAUCUGCGAUAAGCGCCGGUAAGGUGAUAUGAACCGUUAUAACCGGCGAUUUCCGAAUGGGGAAACCCAGUGUGAUUCGUCACACUAUCAUUACGUGAAUACAUAGCGUAAUGAAGCGAACCGGGGGAACUGAAACAUCUAAGUACCCCGAGGAAAAGAAAUCAACCGAGAUUCCCCCAGUAGCGGCGAGCGAACGGGGAGCAGCCCAGAGUCUGAAUCAGCAUGUGUGUUAGUGGAACGGUCUGGAAAGUCCGACGGUACAGGGUGAUAGUCCCGUACACAAAAAUGCACAGGUUGUGAACUCGAAGAGUAGGGCGGGACACGUGGUAUCCUGUCUGAAUAUGGGGGGACCAUCCUCCAAGGCUAAAUACUCCUGACUGACCGAUAGUGAACCAGUACCGUGAGGGAAAGGCGAAAAGAACCCCGGCGAGGGGAGUGAAAAAGAACCUGAAACCGUGUACGUACAAGCAGUGGGAGCACCUUCGGGUGUGACUGCGUACCUUUUGUAUAAUGGGUCAGCGACUUAUAUUCUGUAGCAAGGUUAACCGUAUAGGGGAGCCGAAGGGAAACCGAGUCUUAACUGGGCGUUAAGUUGCAGGGUAUAGACCCGAAACCCGGUGAUCUAGCCAUGGGCAGGUUGAAGGUUGGGUAACACUAACUGGAGGACCGAACCGACUAAUGUUGAAAAAUUAGCGGAUGACUUGUGGCUGGGGGUGAAAGGCCAAUCAAACCGGGAGAUAGCUGGUUCUCCCCGAAAGCUAUUUAGGUAGCGCCUCGUGAAUUCAUCUUCGGGGGUAGAGCACUGUUUCGGCUAGGGGGUCAUCCCGACUUACCAACCCGAUGCAAACUGCGAAUACCGAAGAAUGUUAUCACGGGAGACACACGGCGGGUGCUAACGUCCGUCGUGAAGAGGGAAACAACCCAGACCGCCAGCUAAGGUCCCAAAGUCAUGGUUAAGUGGGAAACGAUGUGGGAAGGCACAGACAGCCAGGAUGUUGGCUUAGAAGCAGCCAUCAUUUAAAGAAAGCGUAAUAGCUCACUGGUCGAGUCGGCCUGCGCGGAAGAUGUAACGGGGCUAAACCAUGCACCGAAGCUGCGGCAGCGACACUAUGUGUUGUUGGGUAGGGGAGCGUUCUGUAAGCCGUUGAAGGUGGCCUGUGAGGGCUGCUGGAGGUAUCAGAAGUGCGAAUGCUGACAUAAGUAACGAUAAUGCGGGUGAAAAACCCGCACGCCGGAAGACCAAGGGUUCCUGUCCAACGUUAAUCGGGGCAGGGUGAGUCGACCCCUAAGGCGAGGCCGAAAGGCGUAGUCGAUGGGAAACAGGUUAAUAUUCCUGUACUUGGUGUUACUGCGAAGGGGGGACGGAGAAGGCUAUGU
rnacentral:rRNA from 1 species